ACGACCUUACUUGAACAGGAUCUGUUCUAUAGGCUCGUACCAUUGUAUCCUUGAUUUCAAAGGAGACAGGAAACCAAGUCUGGUGGAUGACUUGUGGCCAUUAGACUAGAGCGUGAUUAAUAGCCUCCAUGGCCCUCGAGUCAUGGUGCCAUAGAUGAUCGUUCUUAGCCUCGAUUAUGGGGUGCUAAGAUGGUCUAAUGGCUGUCUGACAGACU
rnacentral:snoRNA from 2 species